rnacentral:rRNA from 1 species
CGCCAGACUCCUACGGGAGGCAGCAGUGGGGGAUAUUGCACAAUGGGGGGAACCCUGAUGCAGCGACGCCGCGUGGGCGAUGGAGUACUUCGGUAUGUAAAGCCCUAUCAGCAGGGAAGAAAAUGACGGUACCUGACUAAGAAGCCCCGGCUAAAUACGUGCCAGCAGCCGCGGUAAUACGUAGGGGGCAAGCGUUAUCCGGAUUUACUGGGUGUAAAGGGAGCGUAGACGGCAUGGCAAGUCAGAUGUGAAAGCCCGGGGCCCAACCCCGGGACUGCAUUUGAAACUGUCAGGCUGGAGUGCAGGAGAGGUAAGUGGAAUUCCUAGUGUAGCGGUGAAAUGCGUAGAUAUUAGGAGGAACACCAGUGGCGAAGGCGGCUUACUGGACUGUAACUGACGUUGAGGCUCGAAAGCGUGGGGAGCAAACAGGAUUAGAUACCCGCGUA